rnacentral:rRNA from 1 species
CCUACGGGUGGCAGCAGUGGGGAAUAUUGCACAAUGGGCGCAAGCCUGAUGCAGCCAUGCCGCGUGUGUGAAGAAGGCCUUCGGGUUGUAAAGCACUUUCAGCGGGGAGGAAGGCGUUAAGGUUAAUAACCUUGUCGAUUGACGUUACCCGCAGAAGAAGCACCGGCUAACUCCGUGCCAGCAGCCGCGGUAAUACGGAGGGUGCAAGCGUUAAUCGGAAUUACUGGGCGUAAAGCGCACGCAGGCGGUCUGUCAAGUCGGAUGUGAAAUCCCCGGGCCCAACCUGGGAACUGCAUUCGAAACUGGCAGGCUAGAGUCUUGUAGAGGGGGGUAGAAUUCCAGGUGUAGCGGUGAAAUGCGUAGAGAUCUGGAGGAAUACCGGUGGCGAAGGCGGCCCCCUGGACAAAGACUGACGCUCAGGUGCGAAAGCGUGGGGAGCAAACAGGAUUAGAUACCCCGGUAGUC